GGUAUGUCAACUAAGCAUGGCAGUAAGGCACUGAGCUACUAAUUGCUUUGUCUGGGCUGUUGGUGGUUUAAGGCUUUGAUAUGGCUUUUGGAAUUAAUUUGGGGAUUGUGUUCCUUUGCUCAUUGUUUGCAGAACACUCAAGUUUUACAUGGGCUCCACGUGAUGCCCAGAGAGUAAGAGGCUAUGGGUUUUCUGGCUCUUCCAGAAUGGAAGUUGAGCAGAGGCAAACAGGUGGCAGCUAUCCCCAGGAUCAAUUCAGACCAGCCUCUCACACUUCUGGUUCGGUCCAGAGUGAAGCUACUUACCGCGGGACUGGAUACAACACACUCGGAGGCUUUGCUCCAAGCUCCUCCAGCCAGCCCCAAGGGGCUCUGGAUCUAUCCCCAGCAGCUUUACCUCCGCCCAGACAAAGGGUAAGAGGACCCGUGCCAAGAAUACUGACAUUAGCCUCUCUGGUUCUAUAGCCAGUGGAUCCUCUGUCACCCACAACAAGCAUCAAACCAAGGCCAGCAGAACCUAUGGUCAAAGUGUCACUGACCCCAGUGCAUUAAGGCCAGUUUCAAGUUGGGAGGUAAAGAGAAUCCAGGCCAACACUCUUCGUACUGUACAGCCUCUCUCCGGCAGCUCUGGACUAGUCCAGAAUCCUGAUGUUGUGUUUAAUGUCCAGAGUAGAACUGCCUCUAACCUGAAACCAUCUACUCCUAACUAUGGCUCUACCCAGAGUGAAUUCAAGUUCUCCACCUCCAGACAACCCAACCAAGGCCUUGUCCAGACUCUGAGUAGAGGAGCCCCCAGCCUCUAUGGUCAAACUGCCACCCACACCACCUCCCUCACCCACUAUGUCCAGGACCUGAAGCAAGGGAGCAGCUUCCCUUCCCUGGCUUUCAAGGGACCAAUGGAGAUCUCUGCCCGGUCAAUUUCCACUCCUGACCGUGAAGUUCCCUCAAGUGGUUCUUCACAAACUUCAUUUAGACCAGGUCCUCUGAGUUUUGGUUCUACUGAAGGUGGGAGUGCAACAAACAGCUACAAGCCUAGCUUCUCCCAAGAUGUCAUGGAAUACCAGAGCAACUCUGCCAGUAGAAGUGUUUCAACUUCCAAUCAAUAUGCCCAAACCUCUGGCCAGAGAAUAGAUGGAGCCUCUACCUCAAGUCGCGGCAUGCCCACUUCUAGCCUGGCCUCUCGCUCCAGUCUUUUUCGCCCCAGCUCUACAGCUAGUGGAAACUCCUAUGGCGCCUACAAGCCUGGCUCUGACCUUGGUGCAACACCAAGCCAAAGCCUGUUUACCUCUAACCAAGGUGGAAGGGGUUCAAC